rnacentral:rRNA from 1 species
UACGGGGGGGGUAAGCGUUGUUCGGAAUUACUGGGCGUAAAGGGCUCGUAGGCGGCCAACUAAGUCAUACGUGAAAUCCCUCAGCUUAACUGGGGAACUGCGUGUGAUACUGGAUGGCUUGGAUUUGGGAGAGGGACGCGGAAUUCCAGGUGUAGCGGUGAAAUGCGUAGAUAUCUGGAGGAACACCGGUGGCGAAGGCGGCAUCCUGGACCAAUAUUGACGCUGAGGAGCGAAAGCCAGGGGAGCAAACGGG